GAUACAAUUAGCAGUAGUGCAGGCUCAAAACAGUGAAUGCUUUUCUUAAUAAUGAAAGUUUGAAGUCUCUCUAACUUGGACCUGUCACAGCACUGGCUGCUGCGUGGCCUGUGACCUGCCAGCAGAGGAAGGCACCCUGAGAAGCCCUGGAAUAUUAUUGUCUUUGUGGCCUCUGAGUUCACAGUCCUGAAGAACCUCUUCCCAGCAGGGUCGAGCCCCUUAACACAGGUAAUGUGUUGUGGUUUGUACUGGGAAUGCUAAGAAGGCUGCUCCAUGGAGACCACUCUCUCCUAAUGGUUCAUUGUAAACAUUUGUUUGGCUCAGUGACACCCUUGGUUCAGCUUCCAGUGCUGCUGGCUCUCCUUCUCCUGGGCUCUGGAGCUGUGCAAGCUCCCAUGCAGCUCAUGGGGAGGCUCAGGAUUAGAAAAUGCAGGCUCCACUGGCAGCACUGGUUCCUGUCUCUGGUCACUGCUGUCACCCAUUACCUUCCUCUGGCAUCCUUUGCCCUCCCUUGGGGCUGCCUGCUCCCCUGAGCUGGUGUGGAGAAGAGCUUCCUUGCUACCAGAGCAAUUUUACAGAGAAAGGAGGUUGGCUGACCACGUACUUAAUGUACAUAAAAAUAGGGUUUUUGGGGUUUUUUUAGAAAAUCAAGCCAGUUGGAAUAAAGUGCAGACCCAAAGGAUUCUGCACAUAUCAUGAACAGCAGCAGACUGUAAUUCACCUGAAACCUAUGAUUUUAGCUCCCACACCUGGAGAGGCCAAGCAGAUGGGCACUGUGUGUGUCAGGUAUUCAGGCUCACAGCACCACAGUUAUUCCCAACCAUCUGACACUGCUGAAAGGAGUGGGAGUGGGAUGUCUUGAAUCUUGGAGCGGGUUGGAAAACCCCAAACUCUGUCAGUGUUUGUAGUGGUAACUUGGGGAAAGCAACAGGUUGGAUGGAGUAACAAAAAGUGCCCAGUUCCAGGGGGCAUUUCAGCACCAAAAUAUUCCAUUGGACUGAUAAAGUCCACAUGCAGUUUGAAAUUUUGUGGUGACAGGGAUGUUAAUGCUGGGCUUGUUCUACAGUAAACUGAGCAAGUGACUGCGUGGCCUUGCACUGCAACACAAACAAGCUGCACCGAUUGAUGUGCGUGUAUCGGCUGUUACAAGAAAGGGAAAUGGGAUUUAAUUGUCAGGAGUGACUGAAAUAUGAAUGGGAAUUACGCAGUUUGCACAGUGGCUAUAACUGCUCUGUAAUGGUGUGACAGCAGGGCUCUAAUUGUUCAUUUCUUUUGUUGGGUCACUUGCAAAUUAAGUAAGUAUCUCUGACAAAGGCAUUUUUAUGUUUCAUUAGUUUUGAGGAGGUUCCUUUUAUACCAAGUACAGGCCAUUGUAAUAACUUGGCAAGGCAACCGCUGCACCGUGGGGAAACCUGCACCAGUUCUGGGUAUUGGUUUGCUAUUUCAUGCUGGUGCUGCCAUUCUCAGGGUUGUUAAAGCAGCACAUGGGAAGAGCAGGGACAUGGGGUGUGCAAGGAGCUCUGUGUGUGGAUGCACAGUUGUGCAAGGGCAGAUGCCAACCCUGCCAAAACACACAAGAACUUUGCCACCUUCUGCGGGUCCCAGCGUUCCAGCUUGGGGGUGGAGAGAAGAGGGAAAUGCUGCCUUGUGGCUGCUGCCUCCUUUCCAUCAGAGAGAGCCAGGCAGCCUCCAGGUUCCCUGCUCCAGCGU